rnacentral:rRNA from 1 species
CCUACGGGAGGCAGCAGUGAGGAAUAUUGGUCAAUGGGCGAGAGCCUGAACCAGCCAAGUCGCGUGAGGGAGUACUGCCCUAUGGGUUGUAAACCUCUUUUGUCGGGGAGCAAAAGCCGGACGUGUCCGGCUGUGAGAGUACCCGAAGAAAAAGCAUCGGCUAACUCCGUGCCAGCAGCCGCGGUAAUACGGAGGAUGCGAGCGUUAUCCGGAUUUAUUGGGUUUAAAGGGUGCGCAGGCGGAUUUUUAAGUCAGCGGUAAAAUCGUGGGGCUCAACCCCAUCCAGCCGUUGAAACUGGGGAUCUAGAGUGUGCGAGAGGUAUGCGGAAUGCGUGGUGUAGCGGUGAAAUGCAUAGAUAUCACGCAGAACCCCGAUUGCGAAGGCAGCAUACCGGUGCACAACUGACGCUCAGGCACGAAAGCGUGGGUAUCGAACAGGAUUAGAUACCCUGGUAGU